CUCCAUGAAGUCGGAAUCGCUAGUAAUCGUGGAUCAGAAUGCCACGGUGAAUACGUUCCCGGGCCUUGUACACACCGCCCGUCACACCAUGGGAGUGGGUUGCAAAAGAAGUAGGUAGCUUAACCUUAGGGAGGGCGCUUACCACUUUGUGAUUCAUGACUGGGGUGAAGUCGUAACAAGGUAACCGUAGGGGAACCUGCGGUUGGAUCACCUCCUUACCUUAAAGAAGC
rnacentral:rRNA from 1 species